UACCGUUGCACUGUGGGUGGUAUGGU
rnacentral:sRNA from 1 species